rnacentral:rRNA from 1 species
GAUGAACGCUGGCGGCGUGCCUAAUACAUGCAAGUCGAGCGAACGGACGAGAAGCUUGCUUCUCUGAUGUUAGCGGCGGACGGGUGAGUAACACGUGGAUAACCUACCUAUAAGACUGGGAUAACUUCGGGAAACCGGAGCUAAUACCGGAUAAUAUUUUGAACCGCAUGGUUCAAAAGUGAAAGACGGUCUUGCUGUCACUUAUAGAUGGAUCCGCGCUGCAUUAGCUAGUUGGUAAGGUAACGGCUUACCAAGGCAACGAUGCAUAGCCGACCUGAGAGGGGGAUCGGCCACACUGGAACUGAGACACGGUCCAGACUCCUAGGGGAGGCAGCAGUAGGGAAUCUGCCGCAAUGGGCGAAAGCCUGACGGAGCAACGCCGCGUGAGUGAUGAAGGUCUUCGGAUCGUAAAACUCUGUGAUUAGGGAAGAACAUAUGUGUAAGUAACUGUGUACAUCUUGACGGUACCUAAUCAGAAAGCCACGGCUAACUACGU